UAGGGAAUCUUCCACAAUAGGCGCAAGCCUGAUGGAGCAACGCCGCGUGAGUGAAGAAGGGUUUCGGCUCGUAAAGCUCUGUUGUUAAAGAAGAACACGUAUGAGAGUAACUGUUCAUACGUUGACGGUAUUUAACCAGAAAGUCACGGCUAACUACGAGCCAG
rnacentral:rRNA from 1 species